rnacentral:ncRNA from 1 species
AUUGGAGGGGCCAAGGUUUUGGUGGCCAGCAGCCCGGGGUAACUCCAAAUUCCAAGGAGUGUUUUAUGGGUGGAUGUUGCAGUUUAAAGGGUUCCGUAUUUCGGAAAGCCAAUUAAAAUGUCGUUUUUCAAAAGGGAUGAGUUUGCUGAUGUUUGCGGACCGGAUAGGGGAGUGUAGUAUAGACUGGGGAAGAAUGAAUUUUCAAGACCCAGUUUGGACUAAGGGAGGGGAAGGCGACACUCUUAGACGUAUUUUAGGAUCAAGGACGAAGGCAGGAGUUUGGAAAGUGAUUAGACACCGCUGUAGUUCCUGCAGUAAACUAUGCCGACAGCCUGUGUGUGAGAAUACGUGGGCGGGAGAAAUCUUAGUGUUCGGGCUCUGGGGAUAGUACGCUCGCAAGGGUGAAACUUAAAGCGAAAUUGACGGAAGGACACUACCAGGAGUGGAUUGUGCUGCUUAAUUUAACUCAACGCGGGAAAACUUACCAGGGUCAAGUCAUUCGUUGAUCGAAUACGUGAGAAUGGCAGGAGUGGUGCAUGGCCGUUGGAAAUUGAUGGGGCGACCUUUAGCUUAAAUGCUUAAACCAGUGAGACCUCCUUGACAGGUGUUCUGUAACACAGGAGGGUGGAGGCUAUAACAGGUCCGUGAUGCCCUUAGAUAUCCUGGGCAGCAAGCGCAAUACAAUAUCUCUUCAGUAGACAAAGUGAUUUGAGAUGAGUAGGAUCUACGUUUGUAAAUACGUAGUGAAUAAGGAAUUCCUAGUAACGGUGCCUCAUCAAGGCAUGGUGAAUGUGUCCCUGUUCUUUGUACACACCGCCCGUCACUAUUUCAGAUGGUCAUAGGGAUGAAGAGCUUCGGCUCUGAAUAUCUAUGGCUAGAUAAAGUACAAGUCGUAACAAGGUUUCAGUUGGAGAACCAGCUGAAGGAUCAUUU